rnacentral:rRNA from 1 species
GAUGAACGCUGGCGGCGUGCUUAGCACAUGCAAGUCGAACGAUGAAGCCCAGCUUGCUGGGUGGAUUAGUGGCGAACGGGUGAGUAACACGUGAGUAACCUGCCCUUAACUCUGGGAUAAGCCUGGGAAACUGGGUCUAAUACCGGAUAGGAGCGUCCACCGCAUGGUGGGUGUUGGAAAGAUUUAUCGGUUUUGGAUGGACUCGCGGCCUAUCAGCUUGUUGGUGAGGUAAUGGCUCACCAAGGCGACGACGGGUAGCCGGCCUGAGAGGGUGACCGGCCACACUGGGACUGAGACACGGCCCAGACUCCUACGGGAGGCAGCAGUGGGGAAUAUUGCACAAUGGGCGCAAGCCUGAUGCAGCGACGCCGCGUGAGGGAUGACGGCCUUCGGGUUGUAAACCUCUUUCAGUAGGGAAGAAGCGAAAGUGACGGGACCUGCAGAAGAAGCACCGGCUAACUACGU